rnacentral:siRNA from 1 species
AUCAUCAUGAGAGUGUUGGCGGA